UACGGAGGAUGCGAGCGUUAUCCGGAUUUAUUGGGUUUAAAGGGUGCGUAGGCGGCUUUUUAAGUCAGCGGUGAAAUUUUGCAGCUUAACUGUAACAGUGCCGUUGAUACUGGGGAGCUAGGAUUUGGUUGCUGUGGGUGGAAUGUGUGGUGUAGCGGUGAAAUGCUUAGAGAUCACACAGAAUAUCGAUUGCGAAGGCAGCUCACAAAGCCAAGAUUGACGCUGAGGCACGAAAGUGUGGGGAUCAAACAGGGUUAGAUA
rnacentral:rRNA from 1 species